rnacentral:rRNA from 1 species
UACAGAGGUCUCAAGCGUUGUUCGGAUUCAUUGGGCGUAAAGGGUCCGUAGGCGGUGCGGAAAGUCGAUAGUGAAAUCUCUGGGCUUAACCCAGAGGCUGCUAACGAAACUGCCGUGCUAGAGUGUGAGAGAGGCGAGUGGAAUUACGGGUGUAGCGGUGAAAUGCGUAGAUAUCCGUAGGAACAUCCGAGGCGAAAGCGGCUCGCUGGAUCACAACUGACGCUGAGGGACGAAAGCUAGGGGAGCAAACAGG